AAAAAAGAGAGAGAGAGAGAGAGACUGUGGUCAAUAUGUAUGUAAACUUCUCUCGAAGUAUGAUUAAGAAAUGUACAAAUCAAAAAUGAAUAAAGUUCACAGACAGAUCCUCAAGAAAUUGGAAAUUUAGUAGAAAAUAAAAAAACUCACUCUUGCAAAUCUGAUAUCACUCUUCGAUCUUCUUCUUCUUCUUCUUCUUCUUCUUCUUCUGAGAGAGGCUCUCCGAGAGCUUAAUCUUGCUGCGUCCAGCCAUCCAUCCUCCAAGGCUUUUCUUGAAUUAAGACACAAGAUGAGAUCAAUUCUUGUUUUGUAUCAAACAGUAUUGACAGCUAUAUUAGGUUCAUGUGAAGGAGAUAAAGCCAAGAAAAUGCAAGAAAAUGAGCAGAGUCAUGAUAAAAACAGGAAUGAACAAGAACAACAGAGGCGGCGGCGAUAAUGGUGGCAAAACCACCGGUAGCAGCAGAAGAGAAAGAGCAAGCAGAACCAUAAUAAUAAUGACUUCAACAUCAGAACUCAACAUCAAAUUUCAUACAAAAGAAGCACCAAAAACAUGCAUCCUUAAAAACCCAUAAUAAGUUAUUGAUGAUCUUGAUGAUGAUCAUUAUCAGAUUCAACAACUUUGGAGCUUAACAGGACUAUCCAUAGGAUAGGAGUAUGUUUUUGUUCUCUCCUGGUGUGGUGUUGGAAAAUAUGGGGAGGUGUCUGUGUUUGAAAUGUGGAGGAGAAAAUGAAAGAGACGUAUCGCUUUGUGGAAUUAGAAAUUGGGUCCCAAAGAGGAAACUCAAUUAGAUUUCUGUCUUCAUUCAGCUAAUC
rnacentral:misc_RNA from 1 species